CUGGCCUUCUGGUUAACAUGGACGGUUCUUUUCUUUUUCUCUUCUGUUUCCCCUUUCUCUGUCUCCCCUCCUUAUCUUCUCCUGGGAUAAUGCUCAAAGAGGACAGGGGCUGGGGUGUGCCUUGGGGCGUGCAGUCACUGGGAAUGCUGUACUCUCUGUCUCCUCCAGCCGCACACCUCUCAAGUGGGCUUCUCAUCUCCAGGAGGCUGUGGGGUCCUCUCGGGAGGCUGGGGCUGCAUCUGGUAUUUCUCUUCAGCCCGCAUGAGCUGGGCCCCCAUGGUCCUCACCAGGUUGCCAGCUUCCAGGCCAGUGGUGGCUCCACUAGGCCACGGGUUUGAGGAGGAGUGAGAACACAUCCUGCGCGCAGCACUCGCCCACUGUCGGACCCCCGCUGUGUGCCACCUCCCGCUGCCUCCUGCUGCAGGGCAAGGUGGCUCUGAGGACUGACCCAGGACAGGGCCCGCCACGCUCCAGUGAGAAGCCAAUCACGCACUUCCCGAUGACCACUUUGCGAGGAGACAAUGGAUCGUUUCCUCUCUGUAAUUUUCUGCAUGGAGGUCUCCCUGUUGUCCCCUGGCCACAUCCUUACACACCUACAAGGUGUCUGCUGUGGGGCAGCUACUGUAGCAGGCAUGAGGACUACAGAGAGAAAAAUAAGUACUCUAUGCGCUGAAAAUGCUUAGAGUCCCAGCCAGGGACACACCCAAAGAGGAGCAGCUUUAGUUCAAAGCAUGUGGAUGCCGGGUAGAGGCCUCUUUGUGCCAAUUUUAGUUUGAUUUAGCACGGGACUCAUGGCUUUAUAGAAGGAGGAAGACAGACCUGAGCUGAUGU
rnacentral:lncRNA from 1 species